AUGGAGCUGUGGAGCAAGCUGAGGAGCCUCGACGCUUACCCCAAGGUGAACGAGGACUUCUACAGCCGCACCCUCUCCGGCGGACUCAUCACCAUCGUCUCCUCCCUCGCUAUCCUCCUCCUCUUCUUCUCAGAGAUCCGGUUGUAUCUAUAUGCUGCUACAGAGAGUAAGCUCACAGUUGAUACCUCAAGAGGGGAAAGGUUACAUAUCAAUUUUGAUGUUACAUUCCCCGCUCUUCCCUGUUCUCUUGUUGCUAUUGAUACUAUGGAUGUCAGUGGAGAGCAACAUUAUGAUAUAAGACAUGACAUAAUGAAGAAAAGAAUUGAUCAUCUUGGUAAUGUAAUUGAAUCGAGAAAAGAUGGAGUUGGUUCCCCUAAGAUUGAAAGACCAUUGCAGAAUCAUGGUGGAAGGCUUGACCACAAUGAGGUUUACUGUGGGUCUUGUUAUGGUUCCGAAGAGUCAGAUGACCAGUGUUGUAACUCCUGUGAAGAAGUUCGUGAUUCCUAUCGGAAGAAAGGUUGGGCACUCACUAACGUAGAAUCAAUUGAUCAGUGCAAGAGAGAGGGCUUCGUUCAAAGGUUAAAAGACGAACAAGGCGAAGGUUGCAACAUUCAUGGGUUUGUAGAUGUCAAUAAAGUUGCUGGAAAUUUUCACUUUGCCCCAGGAAAAAGCUUGGACCAUGCAUUCAACUUCCUUCAAGAUAUGUUGAACUUCCAGCCAGAAAAUUACAAUAUAAGCCACAAGAUAAACAAACUGUCCUUUGGGAAAGAGUUUCCUGGUGUUAUCAAUCCUCUUGAUGGUGUAGAGUGGAAACAGGAGCAGACAACUGGAUUAACAGGGAUGUACCAGUAUUUUGUGAAGGUUGUUCCUACUAUCUAUACAGAUAUUAGGGGGCGAAAGAUUCACUCAAAUCAGUUUUCUGUGACGGAGCACUUCAGAGAAGCAAUUGGCCUCCCGAGGCCCCCGCCCGGUGUAUAUUUCUUCUACGAAUUUUCACCAAUUCAGGUUGAUUUUACUGAAGAGAACACAUCGCUUCUUCACUUCCUGACAAACAUAUGUGCCAUUGUUGGAGGCAUAUUCACCGUGGCAGGCAUCAUAGAUUCUUUUGUGUACCAUGGUCAUCGUGCGAUCAAGAAGAAGAUGGAGAUCGGAAAGCUGGGGUAA
rnacentral:rRNA from 1 species